rnacentral:rRNA from 1 species
GAUGAACGCUGGCGGCGUGCCUAAUACAUGCAAGUCGAGCGAACAGAUGAGGAGCUUGCUCCUCUGACGUUAGCGGCGGACGGGUGAGUAACACGUGGAUAACCUACCUAUAAGACUGGGAUAACUUCGGGAAACCGGAGCUAAUACCGGAUAAUAUAUUGAACCGCAUGGUUCAAUAGUGAAGGACGGUUUUGCUGUCACUUAUAGAUGGAUCCGCGCCGCAUUAGCUAGUUGGUAAGGUAACGGCUUACCAAGGCAACGAUGCGUAGCCGACCUGAGAGGGGGGUGGGCAACAAUGGAACUGAGCCCGGGGCCAGACUCCUACGGGAGGAAGCAGGAGGGAAUAUUCCGCAAUGGGCGAAAGCCUGAAGGAGCAAAGAAGAGUGAGUGAUGAAGGUCUUCGGAUCUUAAAACUCUGUUAUUAGGGAAGAAAAACUGUGCACGUAACUGUGCACGUCUGGACGGUACCUAAUCAGAAAGCCACGGCUAACUACGUG